rnacentral:rRNA from 1 species
AAUCAACGCUGGCGGCGUGCCUCAGACAUGCAAGUCGAACGCGAAAUCUCCCUUCGGGGAGAAAGUAGAGUGGCGCACGGGUGAGUAACACGUAGGUAAUUUGCCUUUGGGUGGGGAAUAACUCAGGGAAACUUGAGCUAAUACCGCAUAAUGCAGCGGCUCGACAUCGAGACAGUUGUUAAAGCGGGGGAUCGCAAGACCUCGCGCCUGAAGAGAAGCCUGCGGCAGAUUAGCUAGUUGGUAAGGUAAUGGCUUACCAAGGCGACGAUCUGUAACCGGCCUGAGAGGGCGGUCGGUCACACUGACACUGACAUACGGGUCAGACUCCUACGGGAGGCAGCAGUCGGGAAUUUUGGGCAAUGGGCGAAAGCCUGACCCAGACAACGCCGCGUGAAGGAUGAAGUAUUUCGGUAUGUAAACUU